AUGCUUACCUGGCAGGGGAGACACCAUGAUCACGAACUUGGAUUUCCCUGGGUGAGGCUUAUCCAGUGCACUCUGGAUGUGCUGACCCCUGCGAUUUCCCCAAAUGUGGGCAACUUGACUGCAUAAUUUGUGUAGUAGGGGGACUGCAUUUGCGCUCUCCCCUG